rnacentral:rRNA from 1 species
AUGAGGACUAAACUGUCUCUUGCGAACUGGCCAAUGAAAUUGAUUUUCCAGUACAAAAGCUGGAAUAUACCCAUAAGACGAGAAGACCCUGUGGAGCUUCAAAACCAAAUCACCCAGCAUGCUCAUUGGAUUUUUAGUUGGGGCGACUUCGGAAUAUAGUAAAACUUCCAAAAUAAAUUUAUUUCAUCAAGAUUAACACACCAAAGUUUCUUUAUAGACCCAGCAACUAAUUUUAUUUGUCUGACCAAUGAACCAAGUUACCCCAGGGAUAACAGCGCAAUCUCCUUUUAGAGUCCAUAUCGACAAGGGGGUUUACGACCUCGAUGUUGGAUC